rnacentral:rRNA from 1 species
GACGAACGCUGGCGGCGUGCCUAACACAUGCAAGUCGAACGGAGUUGAAAGGAGCUUGCUUUUUUCAACUCAGUGGCGGACGGGUGAGUAACGCGUGAGUAACCUGCCUUUCAGAGGGGGAUAACGUUCUGAAAAGAACGCUAAUACCGCAUAAGAUUGUAGCUUCGCAUGGAGCAGCAAUCAAAGGAGCAAUCCGCUGAAAGAUGGACUCGCGUCCGAUUAGAUAGUUGGCGGGGUAACGGCCCACCAAGUCGACGAUCGGUAGCCGGACUGAGAGGUUGAUCGGCCACAUUGGGACUGAGACACGGCCCAGACUCCUACGGGAGGCAGCAGUGAGGGAUAUUGGGCAAUGGGGGAAACCCUGACCCAGCAACGCCGCGUGAGGGAUGACGGUUUUCGGAUUGUAAACCUCUGUCCUCUGUGAAGAUAGUGACGGUAGCAGAGGAGGAAGCUCCGGCUAACUACGUGCCAGCAGCCGCGGUAAUACGUAGGGAGCAAGCGUUGUCCGGAUUUACUGGGUGUAAAGGGUGCGUAGGCGGAUUGGCAAGUCAGAAGUGAAAUCCAUGGGCUUAACCCAUGAACUGCUUUUGAAACUGUUAGUCUUGAGUGAAGUAGAGGUAGGCGGAAUUCCCGGUGUAGCGGUGAAAUGCGUAGAGAUCGGGAGGAACACCAGUGGCGA